UACGGAGGGAGCUAGCGUUGUUCGGAAUUACUGGGCGGAAAGCGCACGUAGGCGGCUUUUUAAGUCAGGGGUGAAAUCCCGGGGCUCAACCCCGGAACUGCCCUUGAAACUGGAGAGCUAGAAUCUUGGAGAGGCGAGUGGAAUUCCGAGUGUAGAGGUGAAAUUCGUAGAUAUUCGGAAGAACACCAGUGGCGAAGGCGACUCGCUGGACAAGUAUUGACGCUGAGGUGCGAAAGCGUGGGGAGCAAACAGG
rnacentral:rRNA from 1 species